rnacentral:rRNA from 1 species
AUUGAACGCUGGCGGCAUGCCUUACACAUGCAAGUCGAACGGCAGCGGACCUUCGGUGCCGGCGAGUGGCGAACGGGUGAGUAAUAUAUCGGAACGUACCUUUCAGUGGGGGAGUAACGUAGCGAAAGUUAACGCUAAUACCGCAUAUUCUGUGAGCAGGAAAGCAGGGGAGUCGCAAGACCUUGCACUGAUUGAGCGGCCGAUAUCAGAUUAGCUAGUUGGUGAGGUAAAGGCUCACCAAGGCGACGAUCUGUAGCGGGUCUGAGAGGAUGAUCCGCCACACUGGAACUGAGACACGGUCCAGACUCCUACGGGAGGCAGCAGUGGGGAAGUUUUGGUACGAAUAGGGGCGGAACCCGUA